rnacentral:lncRNA from 1 species
GUAAAUCUCGGGCAGGCUAAUUAAGCCGCGGCGGUUGGCAUGGAAUGGAACGCACGAGCGUUCGGGAGAGAAGCUUACGGGUAUGGGGCGGGUCACACGUGCCAACACCUAGCCACCAGCAGUGUCUCGGACACACGGGGGAAACGAUCAGCAAGCAUGCACAAUAUGAGGAACCUCUCCAUGCAAAAUGUCUUGCAGUCUUUACCUGGUCAAGCGGAGUUCAUGAACAGGGGAGGCCCAUAACAUCCAUCGCUGCUGUGGUAGCAGUGGCUGCUUCUUCCAUGAUACGCAGAGACAGAGCCCAAGCCAGAGCCAGAGCCAGAGACAUAGCCAUCUGCUGAUGAAGCCACAGUCU